AUUUAAGUAGUUUAAAUGAAAAAUAUUAGUCUGUGACACUAAAGAUACUGGUGAGUCUUAGAUC
rnacentral:tRNA from 1 species